rfam:Triticum aestivum genome assembly, contig: Triticum_aestivum_CS42_TGACv1_scaffold_527901_6DL
UACGUAUUUCCUCCAUUCCGAAUUACUUGUCGCAGAUAUGGAUGUAUCUAGAUGUAUUUUAGUUCUAAAUACAUCCAUUUCUGUGACGAGUAAUUUGGAACGGAGGGAGUAGUAC